rnacentral:rRNA from 1 species
UAGUGUAUCCUGAGUACGGCGGGACACGAGUAAUCUUGUCGGAAUCCACGGGGACCAUCCCGUAAGGCUAAAUACUUUCUAAUGACCGAUAGUGAACAAGUACCGUGAGGGAAAGGUGAAAAGAACCCCGGGAGGGGAGUGAAAUAGAAUACUGAAACCAUAUGCUUACAAAAAGUUCGAGCCCGUUAAUGGGUGAGAGCGUGCCUUUUGCAGAAUGAGCCGGCGAGUUAUGGUAUUGUGCAAGGUUAAGUGGAAAACACGGAGCCGAAGCGAAAGCGAGUCUUAAUAGGGCGAUUUAGUACAAUGCUGUAGACCCGAAACCGAGUGAUCUAGCCAUGAGCAGGUUGAAGUAAGGGUGAAACCUUAUGGAGGACCGAACCAGGACACGUUGUAAAGUGUUUGGAUGACUUGUGGUUAGCGGUGAAAUUCCAAUCGAACUCGGAGAUAGCUGGUUCUCCCCGAAAUAGGUUUAGGCCUAGCCUCGGAUAAUGCUACCUGGAGGUAGAGCACUGAAUAUGCAAUGGCCCCGUCUAGGGGUACUGAGUGUAAUCAACCUCCGAAUGCCAGGCAAGUAGAUCCGGGAGUCAGUGUAUGAGGUGAUAACGUCCAUACGCGAGAGGAAAAUAAUCCAGACCGUCAGCUAAGGUCCCAAAAUAUAUGUUAAGUGGGAAAGGAUGUGGAGUCGCACGAACAGCUAGGAGGUUGGCUUAGAAGCAGCCAUCCUUUAAAGAGUGCGUAAUAGCUCACUAGUCGAGUAACUCUGCGCCGAAGAUGUACCGGGGCUAAACAUAUUACCGAAGCUACGGAUUCAUGUUUACAUGAAUGGUAGGGGAGCGUUCUAAGGGCACUGAAGAUAGACCGUGAGGACUAUUGGAGCGCUUAGAAGUGAGAAUGCCGGCGUGAGUAACGUAAGGUAGGUGAGAAUCCUACCCACCGUUUGACCAAGGUUUCCAGGGUAAAGUUCGUCUUCCCUGGGUUAGUCAGGACCUAAGGCGAGGCCGAGAGGCGUAGUCGAUGGACAACAGGUUUAUAUUCCUGUACUACUUAUAUGACUGAUGGAGUGACGGAGAAGGAUAGGAGGAUCCUGUUAUUGGAUUCAGGUCUAAGCACAAAGGUUGAUGCAUUGGCAAAUCCGUGACAUCGAUAAGACUGAAGUGUGAUGGCGACGUAUUCUACGGAAUACUAAGUCCUCUGACUCCAUGCUUCCAAGAAAAGCUUCUAAAGAUAUUGUAUAAGUACCUGUACCGCAAACCAACACAGGUGGUCAAGGAGAGUAUCCUAAGGUGAGCGAGAGAACUAUGGUUAAGGAACUCGGCAAAAUUACCCCGUAACUUAGGGAGAAGGGGAGGUCUGUUCUGCAGACCCGCAGUGAAUAGGCCCAGGCAACUGUUUACCAAAAACACAGGUCUCUGCUAAAGCGUAAGCUGAUGUAUAGGGGCUGAUGCCUGCCCAGUGCUGGAAGGUUAAGAGGAUUUGUUAGAUGGACGUAAGUCGAUAACAUCGAAGCAUUGAAUUGAAGCCCCAGUGAACGGCGGCCGUAACUAUAACGGUCCUAAGGUAGCGAAAUUCCUUGUCAGGUAAGUUCUGACCCGCACGAAAGGCGUAAUGAUCUG